UUGUGUCACUAACACAUGCUGUACACACACCUUUCAGCCCACCGUGUCAUUGGAAUAGAUGGCAGUGAUCAGUCUACAGCUUUGUCAGAGGAAGGUGGGAGUGUCGAGCCAGCUGACAUAAACACACAGGUAUUUGAGGAAAGUGUGUUCAGAUUGGACUGCAUAGAGAAGCUCUCCCCAGUCAUGUCAUCUGAACAGCGCCACUCCUCGGACAACCUUUAGCAGAAUUUUAUUCUGUUGAAGUCAUCCUGCCUGAGUCCGAAGUUUAGCAGCCUAGCAACAGUUUGGACCACCACAGUUCUUGCUGAUCCUCAGAAAGACAUGGCCCUGUGAGGAAUGCAGACAAAGACGUGAUCAGGCCAACUGUGUGCACUGUUGAAGCUAGUGAAUCCCUUGUCAGAUGUGCUGAUGGAGGCAAUGCAGAAAAAUGGAACUGUUUAACUAAUAAUAUCUAGAGUUUUCAUGUU